rnacentral:rRNA from 1 species
CCUACGGGAGGCAGCAGUGAGGAAUAUUGGACAAUGGGGGCAACCCUGAUCCAGCCAUGCCGCGUGCAGGAAGACGGCCCUAUGGGUUGUAAACUGCUUUUACCGGGGAAGAAACCCGCCGACGCGUUCGGCGGCUGACGGUACCCGGCGAAUAAGCACCGGCUAACUCCGUGCCAGCAGCCGCGGUAAU